UACGAAGGGGGCUAGCGUUGCUCGGAAUUACUGGGCGUAAAGGGCGCGUAGGCGGCACUGUAGCAGGCGUGAAAUUCCUGGGCUCAACCUGGGGACUGCGCUUGAUACGGCAGAGCUUGAGGAUGGAAGAGGGUCGCGGAAUUCCCAGUGUAGAGGUGAAAUUCGUAGAUAUUGGGAAGAACACCGGUGGCGAAGGCGGCGACCUGGUCCAUUACUGACGCUGAGGCACGAAAGCGUGGGGAGCAAACAGG
rnacentral:rRNA from 1 species